ACAAAGUGCUUCCCUUCAGAGUGU
rnacentral:miRNA from 1 species